GACGAACGCUGGCGGCGUGCUUAACACAUGCAAGUCGAACGGUAAGGCCUUUCGGGGUACACGAGUGGCGAACGGGUGAGUAACACGUGGGUGAUCUGCCCUGCACUUCGGGAUAAGCCCGGGAAACUGGGUCUAAUACCGGAUAGGACUGCGCGGUGCAUGCCGUGUGGUGGAAAGAUUUAUCGGUGCGGGAUGGGCCCGCGGCCUAUCAGCUUGUUGGUGGGGUAGUGGCCUACCAAGGCGACGACGGGUAGCCGGCCUGAGAGGGCGACCGGCCACACUGGGACUGAGACACGGCCCAGACUCCUACGGGAGGCAGCAGUGGGGAAUAUUGCACAAUGGGCGCAAGCCUGAUGCAGCGACGCCGCGUGAGGGAUGACGGCCUUCGGGUUGUAAACCUCUUUCGGCAGGGACGAAGCGUGAGUGACGGUACCUGCAGAAGAAGCACCGGCCAACUACGUG
rnacentral:rRNA from 1 species